rnacentral:rRNA from 1 species
AAGAGGGAAACAACCCUAACCUCCAGCUAAGGCCCCUAAUUCAUGGCUAAGUGGGAAAGCAGGUGAGACGACCAAAACAACCAGGAGGUUGGCUUAGAAGCAGCCAUCCUUUAAAGAUAGCGUAACAGCUCACUGGUCUAAAUAAGUUGUCUUGCGGCGAAGAUGUAACGGGGCUCAAGCCAUGAGCCGAAGCUGAGGAUGCAUUUAUUGCAUGGUAGCAGAGCGUAGUGUGACAUAGUUCCAUGUGUCCUUAUCGUCCCUCGGGACGGGUUGGACACAAGGAGCUUUCUGUGAAGCUGGCGCGUGAGCGAUCCGGUGGAGAGAUCACUAGUGAGAAUGAUGACAUGAGUAGCGACAAAGAGUGUGAGAGACACUCUCGCCGAAAGUCCAAGGGUUCCUGCUUAAAGCUAAUCUGAGCAGGGUAAGCCGACCCCUAAGGCGAGGCCGAAAGGCGUAGUCGAUGGGAACCAGGUUAAUAUUCCUGGGCCAGAUGGAAGUGACGGAUCUCGAGGGUAGUUCAUCCU